rnacentral:tRNA from 1 species
CCGUCGAUAGCUCGGUUGGUAGAGCGAUGGACUGUAGAUCCAUAGGUCGCUGCUUCGAAGCCGGCUCGACGGA